GGCAUCAGCAACACCUGCUCCUGUUGCACCUUUGCUGGGGUUUGAUCGAGACGGGGGAGUUUCUCUUUUUGGAAUGGCUGGCUGUGGGGGGUGAUAUUUUGCUCCCACUGAAGUCAAUGGCAGUAUUCCCAUAGACAUUGCAGGGGCCAGGAUUUCACCCAGUCUGCUUUAACUAUCACUAGGCCACAGAUGUUGCUUGGAAUGGGUGGCUCGGGAGCCUGAUCCUUCUGAGCCUGUCUCGGGUGCUAGGGUAGGAAGAAAGAAUCGCUGCAGCACGUCUGGCCGUGCUAGCCAGAAAAGGCAGAGCUGAAGGGAAGGGGUUUGAUGGGCUGCCCUCUGUCUCUAUUAUGACUCAAGCUGGCUCUUGGCAGCAUUGAUUAAGAGCUGGCAGGAUGAGGCUGAGCUGCUGUAGUAGCAACUGUCCAGGGGUUUCAUGGCUGGUGAGACAGGAGCAAAGGGGCAUGGGGCAGGGAGCUUAGCUCAAAUACCUGGGUUCUGUCUGGUGAAUGUUUUAUCUACUGCAUUGAAAUAUUGCUGUGGAUUUCAGCAUGACCCAAACAAGUCAGGCUUUUCUUAAACAAGGCCCUGCUGAUUGUGCUGCACAGAGGCUACAAUGAGGAGCCAACCGUUUAGUUUUGCUGCCCAUGCUGAAUGAAGUAACCAAGCAUGCAUGCAGGGAAAUGACCAUAGAGAAGCGGCAGGAAGAGCAGAAAAAUCCAGGGCCCAGCUUCUGAUCUGUGUUUCCCCUCUUUCCUGUGCACAGAGCAGCUCUGGUGAGGUUGGCAAAGAGGUUUGGAUUCGCACUUCUUGGCCUGAGACUAGACUUGUGUCCUGCAGUUCAGAGCCUGGCCACAUGUGCUCUCUACAAGAAUGAAAGCGGCGUGAUUUGUGCUCUGAUCAAAGUGAAGUGAACCCCUGUAACCUUCCUACUUAAAGGUUCCCUGCCUCGGGCAGUGUUUGAAGGAUCUCCUGUAACAACGCCUCUGAAAAAUGUCCUGCUAUAUUUCUUUUUUUUUUAUAUAAAGAUUUGCUGGGGCCUGACACUUACCUGCAAAUAACUUGUGAACAAAAUGUUCUUGUUGUCUCUGGUCCUGUUCAUCAGUUGCUGUUUUCCAUACCCAAAGUGGCUUGCACAUCAGUGCCUGUCAGAGCGAGUUCUGUUCCAUUCGUCAGCUGCUUUCGGAGUCUCCUGAAUAACGAGAUCAUGCAGAAAGGGUUAUUUGGCUCUACAUUAUGGCCCAGUCUCACCAACCCCGUCAUGCUGCAGCAUCCUCAAAGAUCUGCGUUAGUGAUGCCAAGACAGAUCAGCUUUGGACUUUUUUGCUAAACUGCCCCUGGUUCCUGCCUGUUAGCUUUUCUGAACAGUGACACAGCCCACCCUUCGCUAUAGCACUUAGUUCCCGUGCUGGAGAAGGAAGGAGCUAGUCUGUUUGUUUCUCUGGGCAUUGGUUGGAUUGGCUCUCAUCUUUACAUGCCCCAGUAACUGUUUUCUCCUUGUGGCCUAAUGCAAGAUAACUAGUGUUAAGUUCUGAAAUCGUUCAAGGGUCACCGGAGCUAGUUGCUGUUUCUCUGGCUGUUGCAAAGGGCAACACUUCCUCGGGAACAAGGCAGCUCCAGUUCUCAGUGUCCGGGCGUCGUUUAGACUAGGAAUAGUUAACUGCCUGAGUCAGGGUCAUUAUGUAAGCUGCAAUCUCGCUCCCUUUCUCUUUCAAAAUGCCAGGUGUCGCUUUCAAGACUCAGUGAUGAUCUCUAUGUUUUCCUUAUGGGUUUUAAUGAGAAUAGAGUACCGUCUUUAUGAACUGGUGCAUGCCUGUGAGAAAUGUAAAUGGGGAGCAGGCAUGUGUGCCAGAGCAGCUGAGAUCCUGAACCUGAUCAUGUUACACUGUGUGUUUUUGAUAUUUUUUUAACAAUUUUUUUGUAAUAGACUUUGCAUCCGAGAGAGAGUUGGCUGAAUGGUUUUAUUUAAAAAAA